rnacentral:tRNA from 1 species
GGUGAGAUGACUGAAUUUAUAGGUGUUAGACUGUAAAUCUAAUUAUGGGAAUUAAUCUCUCUCACCA